UUUUGAUCCGGGCUCAGAACGAACGCUGGCGGCAGGCCUAACACAUGCAAGUCGAACGAGAAGCUAGAGCUUGCUCUAGUGGACAGUGGCAGACGGGUGAGUAACACGUGGGAAUCUACCUAGUGGUACGGAAUAACUCAAGGAAACCUGAGCUAAUACCGUAUACGCCCUCCGGGGGAAAGAUUUAUCGCCAUUAGAGGAGCCCGCGUCGGAUUAGCUAGUUGGUGAGGUAACGGCUCACCAAGGCGACGAUCCGUAGCUGGUCUGAGAGGAUGAUCAGCCACACUGGGACUGAGACACGGCCCAGACUCCUACGGGAGGCAGCAGUGGGGAAUAUUGGACAAUGGGCGCAAGCCUGAUCCAGCCAUGCCGCGUGAGUGACGAAGGCCUUAGGGUUGUAAAGCUCUUUCGGCGGGGAAGAUAAUGACGGUACCCGCAGAAGAAGCCCCGGCUAACUUCGUGCCAGCAGCCGCGGUAAUACGAAAGGGGCUAGCGUUGUUCGGAAUCACUGGGCGUAAAGCCCACGUAGGCGGAUUCGUUUAGUCAGGGGUGAAAUCCCGGGGCUCAACCCCGGAACUGCCCCUGAAACUGCGAAUCUCUAGUCCGGAAAAAGGGAGUGGAAUUCCUAAUGUAAAGGUGAAAUUCCUAGAUAUUAAGAAAAAAACCCGUGGCAUAGGCGGCUCAUUGGUCCGGUACUGAUCGGUGGGCCA
rnacentral:rRNA from 1 species